GUCCUGCCUGCCCAGUGACCAAAAGUUAAACGGCCGCGGUAUCUUGACCGUGCGAAGGUAGCAUAAUCAUUUGUCUCCUAAAUAGAGACUAGUAUGAAUGGCAAGACGGAACUAAGCUGUCUCCUUAUCUCAUUCCCGAAUUUCACCUUCCCGUGAAGAGGCGAGAAUAUAUUCGCUAGACGAGAAGACCCUGUCGAGCUGCAGUAAAGAGUCAACUUUUUAAGUUUUUUCUUCUCCUCCUAAUAGUUUAAUUUAAAAUUAGAAAAAACAAAAAGAUUGGCUCUAACUUUGGUUGGGGCAACCACGGAGAAAGAAAAACCUCCACUAUCUAUAAUUUUAAAUUAAAUUAAAGAACCAUUUUUCUAAUAUCAUAAAAGUGAGAGUAUGAUCCACCCAGGUGAUCAAAAGAAAAAGUUACCGCAGGGAUAACAGCGUAAUCUUCUUUGAGAGUCCAUAUUGACAAGAAGGUUUGCGACCUCGAUGUUGGAUCGGGACAUCCUAAGGGUGCAGAAGCUUUUAAGGGUUGGUCUGUUCGACCAUUAAAGUCCUACGU
rnacentral:rRNA from 1 species